GUAGGUUCUUUAAGCAUUGACGAGCUAAAGACCAUUUUAAAUUCUAAGCCUAGGGAAGCUUACAAUGGAACUAAUCAGAUGUUUUUAUGUCGGUUUGUUCCGAGACAGUGGAAGACUGGAGGUCAUGUGCUUGUGUCUAAUGUUUAGCAAAAUCUUAGUGAAACGAGGGCGAUAGGAAUGGGGGCUGGGGAAGACUUAGAUGGGAUAAAAAGAGGUGCGGCUGGAAGAACUAAAUCACUUUAAAACUUCUGAAAAUAAAUGUUGACCAUUGUAGUCAGAGGAGUAAAAUGUUCAGAGAAAUGGGGAUGAUUAAACAAGAACGGCAAGCCAGAUUGAGUCAGAAAAUUAUCUUCCUGCCAGAAAUUCUGUCUCCCACAACGGCAUCAGGGGGUGGUUACUUGCCCAGGGUGUAGUCAGUUUUUAAAAAGCUUAAGGGUUACCAACAUAUUCCUAAAUUUCCUGAAUUUGCUGUGAUUCCAGGAUUCAUUUAAACUCUUGAGACUGUUUUACUUUCGGCACGAAAUCAGCUCAUGGGCUUUAUAAAUGUAGAACCUACUGCAUUAUAGUUCUUCUUUUUGUUUAUUCUAAAACUGUUAGUAGCAGCCAGCGUAUUAUAUGAUUUGGAUUGGGCCAUGAACAACCGUAACGAGUGAUAAAGCACCCUUUCCUGUUCCAAUGCAAAGAACAACUAUGAAAAGAAAGUACUGGCAAAUUUAUCAUCUUGUAGUUAGUUCCUGGCCAAAGAAAAUGGUAAGGCCAUUCUUUUAAGCAGUUAAAAAAAAAUGGGGAUGGGCUCUUAAACUUUGGCAUGCUAAGGCCAUUCUUUUAAGCAGUUUAAAAAAAUGGGGAUGGGCUCCUAAACUUUGACAUACUAAAGCAGUCGUCAUUUAGGUAAAAUCUAAGUCUUAAUGGAAAUCGUGAUUUCAUAUCUACUGCAGCGUUAGCAAUCACAUAAUGAUAACUUAAAUCAGUAAAUCGUUGAACUCGGUUCUCUAAUCUUUGAAGAAUAGAAAUACUUUUUAUCCCAAAAGAUGUUUUGAGAAUUAAAUUUGCAGAGAAUUUUUUAGGUCUUUAGUUGUAAUUUAUAGAGCUAGGUCUUUUAACUUUAGUGGAAACCAUGCCCUCCAAACCCAAGUGACUGGAGUCAGAAUGUGAAAUAAGACGACAUAAAAUCCCUAUUUCUUAAGGGGCUGGGCGAAAGUAAUGGAACAAAAUGUAACGUUAUGCUAUUGUGGCAGAGAUAGCUAAUGGAAUGUUUCAUUUCUAAGUCUGUAAUUUCAGUAAUUGUUAGAGGCAGUUUUCCAUCAAUAAGUUAGAUCAAAUGGUUAAACCCAAUAUGAAUUUAUAAAAGCUUAAUUUAAUUUUGGAUUGAUUUACCAGAUGUUUAAGGUGGUUAUAAUGGGUAGUGUUGAUGGUGGUGCUUUUGGAAAAAUGAGUAUUAUAUGCCUGCUCAUCCCUUUACAUUAUCUUAUCAUAUAAACUUCUUGAUUACUCGUUAUGAUACUCUUAAAUCGUACAUUUAGAGGAAAAAUCUUAAAGUAAUCUGUAAGACCAUUUCUCCUUAAAAUGAUAUAUUAUGAGAUGAAAGGAAAGAUAAAGAUAAUUUAGAAGAGAUCCAGAAGUGGACUAAAUUUCUGGUAAGGAGGGGGCUAAAGAUGUUAAAAGACAUCUUAGGAAAAGCAUAUGAUUUAUAACUUUUAAAAGUGUCAUUUAGAUGGUUAAGGAUUUGUGUUUAAUAGUUCUCUUGAAAAUAUUGUUUUCCAAAAGUUUAAAAGCCCUAGCUACUUUUAUACAUUUGCCCUUAAAAAAUGUACAGAAUUUAUUACAUCAAACUGCUACAAAGAAAUAAGAAUUCUGAUUUUUGCAAGUCUUAUAUUUUAGUAGGGGAAACAACCACCAAAGAAAUAAGCAAAAAAAUAUAAUUUCAAAUAUUCAUAAGUGUUAAGAAAAAAAUGAAACAAUAAUGCAAGGUGGGAAAGGAGACAGUGUACCUUACUCAGAUGUACUGUAGGUAGGCCUGAGGAAAUGUUCUUUGAGCUAAGGACAAGCUCAUCAGGGGAGCAUUUGAUUAAGGGAGACAGAUGAGGCAAUGGCUUUGUGCUGGAAACCAGUAUGUGGUUGGAAGGGAGCAGGGGGCAUCUGAGUAGUAGGCAAGGGCUAGAUCAUAUGGACAUUGUUGGCCACGUAAAGGCACAGAUAUUUUAUUUUAAAUGCAUUGAGAAGCCACAGGCAGGUUAUAAGCAGAGGAUUAACAUGAUCUGAUUUACAUUUACA
rnacentral:lncRNA from 1 species